GACGAACGCUGGCGGCGUGCUUAACACAUGCAAGUCGAACGCUGAAGCUUGGUGCUUGCACUGGGUGGAUGAGUGGCGAACGGGUGAGUAAUACGUGAGUAACCUGCCCUUGACUCUGGGAUAAGCCUGGGAAACUGGGUCUAAUACUGGAUACGACAUGUCACCGCAUGGUGGUGUGUGGAAAGGGUUUUACUGGUUUUGGAUGGGCUCACGGCCUAUCAGCUUGUUGGUGGGGUAAUGGCUCACCAAGGCGACGACGGGUAGCCGGCCUGAGAGGGUGACCGGCCACACUGGGACUGAGACACGGCCCAGACUCCUACGGGAGGCAGCAGUGGGGAAUAUUGCACAAUGGGCGGAAGCCUGAUGCAGCGACGCCGCGUUAGGGAUGACGGCCUUCGGGUUGUAAACCUCUUUCAGCACGGAAGAAGCGAAAGUGACGGUACGUGCAGAAGAAGCGCCGGCUAACUACGUG
rnacentral:rRNA from 1 species